AGUGAACGCUGGCGGUAGGCCUAACACAUGCAAGUCGAACGGCAGCACAGUAAGAGCUUGCUCUUACGGGUGGCGAGUGGCGGACGGGUGAGGAAUACAUCGGAAUCUACUUUUUCGUGGGGGAUAACGUAGGGAAACUUACGCUAAUACCGCAUACGACCUACGGGUGAAAGCAGGGGAUCUUCGGACCUUGCGCGAUUGAAUGAGCCGAUGUCGGAUUAGCUAGUUGGCGGGGUAAAGGCCCACCAAGGCGACGAUCCGUAGCUGGUCUGAGAGGAUGAUCAGACAAACUGGAACUGAGACACGGUCCAGACUCCUACGGGAGGAAGCAGUGGGGAAUAUUGGACAAUGGGCGAAAGCCUGAUACAGCAAUACCGCGUGGGUGAAGAAGGCCUUCGGGUUGUAAAGCCCUUUUGUUGGGAAAGAAAAGCAGCAGGUUAAUACCCCGCUGUUAUGACGGUACCCAAAGAAUAAGCACCGGCUAACUUCGUG
rnacentral:rRNA from 1 species